ensembl:lncRNA
CCUGCGUCCACACAGAAGGUCGGGGGGAACGAUGUGUGUACAAAGCGCAGGUGGAACCAAGUCGUUGGGUUGAAGGUUCUGAGUCGAGUCCCAGAAAAAGAUUCUCUCAAAUGCUGCUGUUUUCCUGAAUGAGCACAGAAAUCCCUCCCGUGACCUCACCGUUGGCUCAGCUGUGCACCCCCCCCCCCUGUCCCCCGGAAACUUGAGAGAUGGAGCAAUGAUGACAGGGGUGGCGGUGCUGAUGAUGAAGGAAGGGGGUGUGUGGGAUGGAGCCACAAACCGCUGCUGUUGCCGUGUAUGUGGGGCAACCAGGAACAUCCGGUCCUCUGCAGACAGUCAUCGCAUCCCUUCGCUUCAGGAUUACAGCACUUAAUCUGCACGGCAACAGCUCCUCUGCUGCUGCAACGCUGAGCGGAUGGGUGAGAGAAAAAAGAGAGAAAUGCAAGAAGAGAAGGGAAGCUAAAAACGAUACAGAGAGAGAUCACAGGGGGAAACAUAAAGAUGGAGGAUGCGAAGGCAUCAAGGAAACUGAGCGAGGAUUAAGAAUGGCCGCUAAGUCAUUCACAAUUUCUUAUUCAUUCACACCGGCUGCAAUCGGCCUGUUGCGUAAGAGGGAGAGGGAGAGGGGCACCGGGAGGUCAGGUGAGGUAGGGAGGAGAUGGAGGAAAUGAAAUCGAGAUGCCGAUGCUGUCAUUCUAACGGUGGUGCACUGCGCCUCAUAAAAAAAAGGAGAAACAUCAUUUUAGGCUGAAACAAAGCGCAGGGUGUCCUGCAGUUGUAUAGAUUUGUAUAAAUCUAUACAUAGAUAUGUAUAAAUCGAUACAACUAUAUAUAACUAAAUACUUUCCCAAUAACGAUAUGCAAUUUUUACCUGGUAAAAAAAAAAGUUCAGUCGGACUUUAUCAAAUUUUUGGCUUUUUUUUACAAUUAUAUUAUACCUUGUGUUAUUGUGUUGUUGUGAAUUUGUGGUAUGUAAACUCUGCUUCCCCCAACAGAACCAGGGGAGGAUGCCUGGGGGGGGCGAAAAGCCUGGCUGAAACAAAAUCAUGAGAAGACAUGAGGAGACAUGAGACAUUAGGAAACAUGAGCAGUCAUGAGGAGACAUGGGGAGACAUGAGACAUUAGGAGACAUGAGGAGUCCUCAGGAAACGUCAUGAG